rnacentral:lncRNA from 1 species
ACGCGCACGCUGGGUUAAAUAAUUUGACAACAUGUAACAAGCUAGGGCCUGGAAGGAUUGUUCUAUUCCUUUCUUUUCUUUUGGCAUUAUAUUUUUGCUUCUCCACGCAUUGAUAAAAUAUCAUACGAAAAUUGAUAUGAAAAUAGCAUUUACACAAAAUUUCUGAUAUAAUUAUUUUAUUUAAAAAGUAAUAUAUUAAUUAUUGCUAUCAGAAGAUCAUUGCACUAGGGACAUAAUAAUAUCAAACUAAUCGAAGAUUCGUAUGUUGUACGG